CGAAAUUGCCGACGUGUAGGGCUAAGAAGACGACGAAGAUGAUGUACAAUUGAUGAGUGUAGAAGAACAAUUCAAAGUUCUUGGUUCUGAGUUUUGGGAGAGAGGUAUUCUAAUUGAGAACAUGUGACGUGAAGGAUUUGUGUUAUCCAUUUCACCACCUAAAGUAAUGUUUAAAACUGAGAAUUCAACGAAGCUUGAGCCAAUUGAAGAAGUCACCAUACAGAGUCAGGAAUACAAGGGGGAGGAUGAAAGCAAGCUAGAUAAGACGAAGGCUGCUAUAACUAGACUGCAGUCACUAAUUAUUGUCACAUCCCAAGCUGUCAAUACAACUUCUACUGCCAUAGUUGGACUAAGAAAUUCGGAUCUCAUUCCUCAGCUUGUUGAACUUUGC